rnacentral:rRNA from 1 species
UACGGGGGGGGCAAGCGUUGUUCGGAAUUACUGGGCGUAAAGAGCUCGUAGGCGGUUUUUUGCGUCUGCCGUGAAAGUCCGGGGCUCAACUCCGGAUCUGCGGUGGGUACGGGCAGACUAGAGUGAGGUAGGGGAGACUGGAAUUCCUGGUGUAGCGGUGAAAUGCGCAGAUAUCAGGAGGAACACCGAUGGCGAAGGCAGCUCGCUGGGACGGUACUGACGCUGAGGCGCGAAAGCGUGGGGAGCAAACAGG